ACCGGAUGCGGAUCUCGAAAGCCUGUCCCAGUUCGGACUGGAGUCUGCAACCCGACUCCACGAAGUUGGAUUCGCUAGUAAUCGCGCAUCAGCCAUGGCGCGGUGAAUACGUUCCCGGGCCUUGUACACACCGCCCGUCAAGCCAUGGGAGCCGGGGGCGCCUGAAGUACGUAACCGCAAGGAGCGUCCUAGGGUAAAACUGGUGACUGGGGCUAAGUCGUAACAAGGUAGC
rnacentral:rRNA from 1 species